GCAAAACGCGAAGAACCUUACCAGGCCUCGACAUGCAGAGAACUUUCCAGAGAUGGAUUGGUGCCUUCGGGAACUCUGACACAGGUGCUGCAUAGCUGUCGUCAGCUCGUGUCGUGAGAUGUUGGGUUAAGUCCCGUAACGAGCGCAACCCUUGUCCUUAGUUACCAGCACGUCAUGGUGGGCACUCUAAGGAGACUGCCGGUGACAAACCGGAGGAAGGUGGGGAUGACGUCAAGUCAUCAUGGCCCUUACGGCCUGGGCUACACACGUGCUACAAUGGUCGGUACAGAGGGUUGCCAAGCCGCGAGGUGGAGCUAAUCUCACAAAACCGAUCGUAGUCCGGAUCGCAGUCUGCAACUCGACUGCGUGAAGUCGGAAUCGCUAGUAAUCGCGAAUCAGAAUGUCGCGGUGAAUACGUUCCCGGGUCUUGUACACACCG
rnacentral:rRNA from 1 species